rnacentral:rRNA from 1 species
AGCAGCAUGCGGUGAAGAUGAUGCCUCUGGUUGUAACUUCUUUUAUAGGGGAAGAAAGAUACUUUUUUUAAGGUAGUUGACGGUACCCUAUGAAUAAGCACCGGCUAACUCCG